GGCGCCAUAGCCAAGUGGUUACGGCGACAGAUUAGAAUGGUAAACUAUGUGACUCGUCAUGGAUUACGUAAUGAUCUGUUCCUCUUUGAGGGCGCAAGUUCGAAUCUUGCUGGCGUCG